rnacentral:sRNA from 12 species
CGCCUAAACUCACCGUUUUUCUUAGUGAGCAUGGUGCAAAAGCCAACCAAGGUACUGAGCUCGUCGUCAGAGCACCUUGGUUGGUCAUAUCUCGAAAGGGGUAUGGGUAGCCGAAAGGCUAUC